rnacentral:rRNA from 1 species
AGAUUGAACGCUGGCGGCAUGCCUUACACAUGCAAGUCGAACGGCAGCACGGGAGCAAUCCUGGUGGCGAGUGGCGAACGGGUGAGUAAUAUAUCGGAACGUGCCCAGUCGUGGGGGAUAACGCAGCGAAAGCUGUGCUAAUACCGCAUACGAUCUAUGGAUGAAAGCGGGGGAUCGCAAGACCUCGCGCGAUUGGAGCGGCCGAUAUCAGAUUAGCUAGUUGGUGGGGUAAAAGCCUACCAAGGCGACGAUCUGUAGCUGGUCUGAGAGGACGACCAGCCACACUGGAACUGAGACACGGUCCAGACUCGUACGGAGCAGC